UCUGACUCCGCUAGUUCUCACACUCACUUCCACACCUGGGUUCUUAAAGUUCAUUCUGAAAUUCUGUACAAAACAGAGUUGUUGGAGGUUCAUCUGUGAGAAAGAAAACCACCGUCAAGAAUCUAGACUACCACCAUGAAGAAGACUUACCAUCCCACCGUUGCACUGGUCAGGGUCGUAUCAAACAGCAAUACUGACGAGCCAGCCGUGAUGACCUACAGAAAUAAUUUCAACAAAAGGCCAUCAGACCAGCAGGACUUGGAAGAAAGAGUCCUGUGGUCUGAGGAAUGUCUCGGUCACACACACAGAUCUGAACAACAAACACCAGGACCAGCCGCGGGCUGAGGGAUGCCAACAACAGCAGAGCUCAAUACAUCGUGCCGGCCAAUGGGCCUUUGAACUUCCUGGCUUUGUCAGCGGAUGUCACAACCUCUGUUAUUGAAGCAGAUUUUGGUAUUUAAAGCAGAUCAGGCUUGUUUUUUAAACAUGCAUUCCGAUCCUAAGACAAAUUUUCUGUUUGUCCAAAGAGAAAGGGGAGUGGUGGUUGGUGGGAACCUGCCAGACAAUCAUGCAUUUACGGGGGGAUCAGAGAGUCGGGCUUGUUGUUUGUGAUUGCUUUGUUAUUGUUUAAACACAUGCGACUUAAGAAGAAAGGGACCGAAUGCAGCACAGAGAAAAGGCCUUGCACUGUCACUGCCUCAGGGACCGCCCGCACCUCCCACUUAAACUCACUGUAGUGUUUCUAGCACGGUUUCAUACCGUCAUGUUUGCUCAGCAAAGACCCUCUGCCUGGAACGACUUCACACAAUUGGCCUCCCGACACAAUUCCUGCUCACUUUUUGAAAAUCCAUUUCUAGAAAACUUUUACAGCUUUAAAAAAAAUAAAAGAUUUAUUUAUUUUAGAGAGAGGGAGAGAGCACAAGAGCAUGGGGGGGAGGGGGAGAGAGGGAGAGGGAGAGAGAAUCCUCAAGCAGACUACCCGCUGAGCACAGAGCUGACAAGGGGCUCGAUCCCAGGACCCUGAGAUCAUGACCUUAGCCAAAACCAAGAGUUAGAUGCUUAACCACUGAGCCACCCAGGUGCCCCUAAAAAACUUUUAUGAACCUGACCCCCCCACCCCAUCCACACAUCUGGGUGGAUCAGGCACCUCUUCCAGUGGCUUCCAUACCCCUUGGCAUUGCACGCGCCAAACUAUGGAAAUGUGUGGUCUCCCCCACCAGGGCGUGUUACGUUCCUCUCUGUAUGUUCAACAGAGACCCACACACAGUAAGUGGCCGAUACACCUCAUUGGAGUUGGCAAGCCACAGUCUUGUUUAUUUUUAAAUCCCUUUUCAUACAUUAGGGGAAGUUGGAAGCCAGACUGGAGAACAACAGAAACACUCUGCUCAUGUCUGCUUCUUUCCCCCAUUACCUCCAGGAGGCUAGAAAGAGCUCCGCAGGGAGGAUUCGCGACUGGCUCACUCUGGCUUCAAGUCCAAACAUGUCAGGAAAGAUUCUGAUUGUCUCCUGGACCA